CAGCAAACCGGGUGCUACUUGGAGGAAGAUUCGGUCCACGCAGGGUGCCUAUUGAUGCUUUCGUGCGCUGGGGCCAUGCAGAAUCAAAGCUGCAGAUGGAGAUGGGACAUUGAUCCUCUGCUUCAUUCCAAGGCAUUUCUCCGGGCCCUAGAGGACAUCCUGGCCCUGACCAGACCCUGGGUGUGUUUGCUGAGAGGUCUGCUGCUUGAGGGCAUUGGGCACAGAUGUGGAAACUGAGGCUUUCUGGAUUCCUCCACAGAAGUCCUGGGAGCCACUUGUUCAGGAUCCAGGAGCCUGUGUCCCUAACAGAGACUCGGAAGAGGCAGGGCAGCGGGGAGCCUGUAGCCCCGCCGCCGACGCUGGUCUUCAGGCCGCACCGCGCAUUCAUCCUCGCCCUCCCUGCUCUGUUCUAGAUCCCCUGAGCCCGGGCUAGCGCCCUGCCCUAUUGGGGGCUUGCCUGUGGGCUCCCCUGACUGUCAGCCCUGGAGCGUCUGGGGGCCCAGGUCGUCGCGUCCCUUCCAGGCUGCCCUUGCCAUGUCGCCGUCCAAACCGGGCAAAGGUGCUCCAAGAGGCGCCGGCUCAUCUUCCCGGCUGGUCCUUUGGCACAAGAAGCCCAAGUGUGGCAUCGGCGUGGCUUAGAGUUCAGUGGAGCUCGUACCGUGUCCCCAGGGGCAGCUCUAACAGAGCCCUGAGCCGCAUGGACAGGAAACACAGAUGCCCCAAAUGUGUCCGGGGAGUGACAGUAAACGUGGCGGCUCCUGCUCCCUCCUCUUCGUUCUCGGACCCACAUGUUCUAUCCAGUGGGGACACAGAAUGAUGCAAAGGUCACUGAGUGAGAGCGUGUGCUGUGUCCCGGGAGGCUCUGCGGCGGCCGGGCCAUGCCAUCCCUCUAGCAGGUGGCAGCCUCCGAGCGCCCUCAUCUGCAGCAUGAGCACAUGCCACCGUCCUCGCCCCCCUCCAGCUCCGCCUUUCCCAUUACGCAGGUCUUUGGUCUGACGUGACAUUACACGGGGUCCCAUGUCAGCGGACUGAGUCCUGUGAGCUCUCCGAUGCUCACGGAGGCCCUGUGGCAAGAAAAGGCAACCCCCACCCAUAAUAUUUCUCAGUUCCUGUCAAAAUUCAUCAUUGCCUCCUCCGGGAGGGAAGAGGUCCAGGGUAGUUGGCUUGCUUCUCGGAGACUGAUGGGUUUCUCCUAGGGAUGCCUCCGCCCUGGGGACGCACCAUUGAUCCUUCCUGCUGGCAGGUUGGACAUCCAGCGAUGGCGUCGGCUGGGCCAGAGGUGGAAGUGGACCGACGUCAUCUUCUAGGGCAUGUGCAGCCUGUAAUAUGACGGAGACUGGUGGCCAGAAGGUGACAGAGAAGAGAGAGGGGAUGGAGCCCUGGUGCAGGACCAGCUGUAUGUUACUCACUGCAAGUCACUAUGAACUAUUUCGGAUCGUCUUUUCUUACAGGGGUGAGAAGAGGGAUGGGUCUCUACCAAGUAUCCGAGGCCGCGUUCAUCUAGCAAGGACCAUAUUGGGCGCGGGGCUCGCAGCUGGGCCAACGACUUGGCUGAGCUGGUACCCAUCCAUGCCACCAUCCGAGACCCAUCACCAGACAGUCCUGGGGUCAGGUGGGCAAACUGGUUGGAGAUGCAUCGGGGACCACCACUCCCACAUCCUUUUGGCCCUUCAUGGUACAUCUGUGCCAUCGUCUCGUGUGCGAUAUUGUUUUUGGUUUAUUUUUUUGGCCCAGUGGGGGUUGUACCAACUACCAAAUAGGUCUAUUUGAGUUCUUCAUUGAAGAACCCGGGAAUAACCACUGGGGAGCCUGGAGAGGCCCACAGACCCAGGGAACCACACUUGGGUCGGGACCCCAAUUACUACCUGCCCCCCACCACCCACAUUCCCCCACUGGAGUCAUCCAGUCUUCAGAGCGUCAACUCGCACCCUGUGUCCAGCAGCCUUCCACGUGACUGGGUGUUCUUUUCCCAUGUAAGGAUACUCUGUUGUUGCCCUUUCACUCCUCUGGGGAAGGACGGGUGUCAUGACAUGUACACUCACGGUGGCCCAAGGUCCUUCUUCCUGGAGACUGGCUCACCUUCUGUCAAUGGAUUCCGGCCUGGAAACUGGCUUCAGAAUGGCAACCGAGCAAGGAAUCAUGGCUUUUUGUUGGGGCUCUGCCUUCAGCAUCCUGAUCACUCAUUCUUGAUUUAAUUGUACAGAUUGAACUCUACCCUGAUAGGCUGCCCAGCUGGGACCCCGUGAUCCAUUAGCCAGAUUGACCAUUUCCAGAGCCCACUGGCUGCCCCUCAGACUCCAAUGCUCAUUACAGUAAUUGUCUCCAGCUUCCGAUGGUUACCCCCUGCCACCUCAUCUCUGUUGUUCUAGGGCCCUAAGACCCUCAUUGCCAUCAGUGAGCCUGCUUCUGAGGCAUCACCUCCCACCAUCAGCCCUGGCUUGUGGGGGACAGGCACCACCACGGAGCUUCUCAACUAUGCUUCCAUGGAACACAGUCAUCUGGUGGAUGCUCUAGCCUUCCCUGUUCUAUCCAUCGUAGCACAUCCACCCCUCUGAACCUUCACUCAGUCCUUCCACCAUCCACCACAGCAACUCCACCUCCCUUAGCAGAGGCCAGCCCUCCCCCAUGCUGCUGAGCGCCAUUGGUUCCAUGUG